UCAGGACUAAAAACAAGCAUUUAGAAAAUAGGCCCCAAGACUGUGGGUCCAUUAUUUCCUCUACACAUUUUAAUUUAUUUACUUACUUAUUUAUCUAUAUUCCUUUCAGGUGUAUGCAAAAUAUGAAAAUGAAAGGAAAUUGUUCAGACCUGGGGAGUAAUAAGCUUAUUCUAAUUAUUCUCCCUGCAUCUGGGCAGAACAAAAUCUAGCAUCCACUGAGCCCCACUGGGACCAAUUUGCAGCCCCAGCAGGUGUAUCCAAUUGGUAUAAAUUAGCUAUGGCAUAACAGUAGACCUUUGCUUGAUACAGCAGGAGUUCUGAAGCUGAGGUUUGCAAGGGAGAAGUACAAGUGGAGCAAGGCAGGGGGCACUGGAGCUGUUGACAUCUCAAGUAUUUAAACUAGAAGCAUUUCCAGCGAAGUUGUUCAUAGUGACAUCAAUUACCACUAAUGCCCAAUCUGCAUCUGAUUUUGGAUGCAGCUCCAGCCACUCUGCAAAGCAAUGUUGCUGAGAACUUCAUAUCAAUCUGCUUUUUUAUAUCCUUGCCAGAAGCUGCCAUUCUAGGAGGGAAAUGUCGAGGACACUCAGUCUGCAAUGCAAAUAUAUAUUUAAUCACUUCCUACCUGGUUUAGAAAUUUACAAAAGAAUCAUUAUCCCUAGAAAAUCUCCCUUCAACCCAGGAAUCGACUCCUCAUAGUUGCUCACAGAUCUGUGGGGGAUGACAGGCAGGGGUGCCAGUUCCAGCUGAGCAGCCCCUUGAUCACUCUGUGAGUUGACACGUGGAAAAAUUGUAAAUGCUCUUCUGCUCACCU